GACGAACGCUGGCGGCGUGCUUAACACAUGCAAGUCGAACGGAAAGGCCCUGCUUGCAGGGUACUCGAGUGGCGAACGGGUGAGUAACACGUGGGUGAUCUGCCCUGCACUUCGGGAUAAGCCUGGGAAACUGGGUCUAAUACCGGAUAGGAGCCAUUUUUAGUGUGAUGGUUGGAAAGUUUUUUCGGUGUAGGAUGAGCUCGCGGCCUAUCAGCUUGUUGGUGGGGUAAUGGCCUACCAAGGCGGCGACGGGUAGCCGGCCUGAGAGGGUGGACGGCCACAUUGGGACUGAGAUACGGCCCAGACGCCUACGGGAGGCAGCAGUGGGGAAUAUUGCACAAGGGGCGCAAGCCUGAUGCAGCGACGCCGCGUGGGGGAUGACGGCCUUCGGGUUGUAAACUCCUUUCGCUAGGGACGAAGCUUUUUGUGACGGUACCUAGAGAAGAAGCACCGGCUAACUACGUG
rnacentral:rRNA from 1 species